CAAAAGAGGCGGCGUUAGCUACGCCGGACGCUUGCCUUGGAUUCAACAUCAAACCCGUCUCAGAAAGUUGCCUUAUUUACGUAUUUGUUGGAGCGUCCCAUGGAUUUAAUAUAAGUAGAUCGUCUACUGACAAACUUCACGUGACUUAUCUCCGAAAGUCAUCGAUCUGGGCAGAUCGCCAGAGGUUGAGCUACAGCCAUGGUGCAACAAUACCAGUCACCUGUAAGGGUCUACAAACACCCCUUUGAGCUGAUAAUGGCGGCCUAUGUGCGGAGGUUUCCAAACUGCCCCCUGAUCCCCAUCUUUGUGGACAGUGAGGUGGUGAAGGAGGAGCACAGUGAUGACGGAGCCACUGUGUUCAUUGAGAGGCGCUGUAAGGUGGAGGCAGAUGCCCCCCGGCUGUUCAAAAGGAUGGCUGGUGUGGACUACCUGUACUUCAUCCAUAAGAACACUCUGGACCGCAGGGAGAGGGCGCUGCACAUAGAGGUCGUCAACGAGACCUUCUCCAACAGAGUCAUCGUCCAUGAGAUCUGCAACUACACGGUUCACCCAGAGAAUGAGGAGUGGACGUGUUUCGAGCAGACAGCCAGUCUGGACAUCAAGUCCUUCUUUGGCUUUGAGAACGCAGCUGAGAAGCUAGCCAUGAAGCAAUAUGCCAACAGUAUUAAAAAGGGCAAAGAGAUCAUAGAGUAUUACCUGAAGGAGUUGGAGGAUGAGGGGGUGACCCACGUCCCCCGCUGGAGCCCCCCUCAGGCCCCCCCACCCACUGCCAGCCCCACAGAUCUACCGGCUGGCUCCCCAGAUGACAAGUUGGAUGCAGACUACAUCAGGCGUUACCUAGGAGACCUGACGCCGCUGCAGGAGAGCUGUCUAAUAAGACUACGCCAGUGGCUGCAGGAGACCCACAAGGGCAAGAUCCCUAAGGACCAGCACGUGCUGCGUUUCCUGCGGGCCCGGGACUUUAACCUGGAGAAGGCCCGGGAGAUCCUGUGUCAGUCGCUCUCCUGGAGGAAGCAGCACCAGGUGGACUUCCUGCUGGACUCCUGGGAGAGACCUCAGCUGCUACACGAUUACUACACCGGGGGCUGGCACCACCACGACAGAGAUGGACGCCCUCUGUAUAUUCUGCGACUCGGUCAAAUGGAUACCAAGGGUUUAGUACGCGCCUUGGGCGAGGAGUCCCUUCUGAGACAAGUCCUGUCCAUCAACGAGGAAGGUCUGAGGCGUUGUGAAGAGAACACCAGAGUCUUUGGCCGACCCAUCAGCUGCUGGACGUGCCUGGUGGACCUGGAGGGGUUAAACAUGCGUCACCUGUGGCGUCCGGGGGUUAAAGCCCUGCUGAGGAUCAUAGAGGUGGUGGAGGCCAACUACCCAGAGACCCUGGGAUGUCUGCUCAUACUGAGGGCUCCACGGGUCUUCCCUGUGCUCUGGACCCUGGUCAGUCCAUUCAUUGACGAGAACACCAGGAAGAAGUUCCUGGUGUAUGCUGCGAAUGACUACCAGGGGCCUGGAGGUCUGGUGGACUACAUCGAUAGAGAGGUCAUCCCUGACUUCCUGGGAGGAGACUGCCUGUGUGAGAUCCCUGAAGGAGGUAUGGUCCCCAAAUCUCUGUACAGGACAGCAGAGGCGCUGGAAAGUGAGGAGCUGCGGCUGUGGACAGACACCAUCUACAAGACUGCCAGUGUCUUCAAAGGGGCCCCACAUGAGCUGCUGAUCGAAAUCUCCGAGUCCUCUUCUGUGAUCACCUGGGACUUUGACGUGUGUAAAGGGGAUGUCAUCUUCAACAUCUACCACUCCAGGAGGGCGCCCCAGCCCCCAAGAGGGACGUCCAGGGGGCCCACGGCAGCAUCGUGUCGCCAGCCACCAACAACAUGCAGCUGAUUGACAGAUCCUGGAUUCUGGGGCAAGACUACAGCAUGGUGGAGACAGCACUCACCUGCAAGGAGGGAGAGAGUGUUCAGGGCUCCCAUGUGACGCGGUGGCCCGGGUUCUACAUCCUCCAAUGGCGGUUCCAUUGCUCCCCGGCCUGCUCUACCUCCAGCCUGCCCCGGGUGGAUGACGUGCUGGCCUCCCUGCAGGUCUCCUCCCACAAGUGUAAGGUCAUGUUCUACACCGAGGUGCUGGGCUCCGAAGACUUCAGGGGCUCUAUGACCAGUCUGGAGUCCAGUCACAGUGGCUUCUCCCAGCUGAGUGCCGCCACCACCACCUCUAGCCAAUCACAGUCCAGCUCCACCGUAUCAAGGUAGCAUCCAGCCAAUAGGAGGUGAAGGAGUUUGAGUUUUGCUACAUGGAGAUCCCAUUUGGGAUCUAACUGACUUCUGAUACUGUUGACUUCUGCCCUGUUGCCUUAAAGAAAAACCAGUGCUGUACCAACACCUGCCAAUGAGGACUUAACCUUACCCAAUGGGAUGAGAGAAGUGUUAUGAACUGUAUGGAACAAGGAUCGCCUAUCCUUAAUGCCAUGUGGUGGAACACUGGACUUCCUACCUGUGAGCACCUUCUAGGUUGUCAGUGUUGGUAAAACAACAAGUGUGCUGUCUGCAUUUAAAGCACUGGAAUAUAUUAUUAAAAUAUACAUGUAUGUUUUUUAUCUAUCUAUAAUUAGUGACAUUAAGAUUGCUCUGGAAGUGGAACGUCUGCUAUAUGAGCAUCUGCUGAAUGAAUAAAUGCAUAUGGAGAUGUCUUGCAAACCAUCCUCUUCUUUCUUUCAAUACCAUUAUUCUUUGUUUUUUAAGGGAAGUGAAAUGUUUCCCAUUUUUUAAAAAUUGAACAAUAAAGCACUGCCUAUUUUCAGCA